rnacentral:rRNA from 1 species
UACGUAGGGUGCGAGCGUUGUCCGGAAUUACUGGGCGUAAAGAGCUCGUAGGUGGUUUGUCGCGUUGUUCGUGAAAACUCACAGCUUAACUGUGGGCGUGCGGGCGAUACGGGCAGACUGGAGUACUGCAGGGGAGACUGGAAUUCCUGGUGUAACGGUGGAAUGCGCAGAUAUCAGGAGGAACACCGGUGGCGAAGGCGGGUCUCUGGGCAGUAACUGACGCUGAGGAGCGAAAGCGUGGGGAGCGAACAGG